CGUCGAGCAGGUACGAAAGUAGGUCUUAGUGAUCCGGUGGUUCUGUAUGGAAGGGCCAUCGCUCAACGGAUAAAAGGUACUCCGGGGAUAACAGGCUGAUACCGCCCAAGAGUUCAUAUCGACGGCGGUGUUUGGCACCUCGAUGUCGGCUCAUCACAUCCUGGGGCUGAAGCCGGUCCCAAGGGUAUGGCUGUUCGCCAUUUAAAGUGGUACGCGAGCUGGGUUUAGAACGUCGUGAGACAGUUCGGUCCCUAUC
rnacentral:rRNA from 1 species